UGGCAAGGGUGGCAAAGGUGGCAAGGGUGGCAAGGGUGGCAAAGGUGGCAAGAGUGGCAAGGGUGGCAAGGGUGGCAAGGGUGGCAAGGGUGGCAAGAGUGGCAAAGGUGGCAAGGGUGGCAAAGGUGGCAAGGGUGGCAAUACCGUAAACCUCUGACUGAGACGAAACCGAAUUAUAAAAGAUAUUGAUUAUCAUGGUCUCGUCAAUUAAAAUAACCAAAAUAGUGAAAGAUAGAGAACACAUAUGUCACAAAACACAAUAUAAGACUCAGAGUGAUAGAAGUACAUGUCCUUGUUCUAUUUUAUUUUAGCGAUAUUUUGGUUUACGAAAAUAGAAUACUGAUUAUUUUUAAUAUUUACGUUGGAUUAUGGUUGAUUUAGAAACCCCCUAACAGGGCCUAAAUAGAUAAAAGCUGAUUCUCGUUAUUACAUGCUCAAGUACAACUCCUGUACAACUCCUGAUGAUUGUACAUUUGGU